CGACUUCGGCUGCAUGUAACCGAUCGGCGAGAGUUUCCACUUGCAGUCGGGGGAGGAGUUGAAAACGGAGCCGUCAAGUCGGACACUUUCUGCUGCCCGUAGUGACGCUCGCGCGGUGUUUGCUUUCUUUAUCGCAGACGGAGCGGAUUAUGCCGGCACGAUUUUAGGCCCGAUUUUCGAUCGCCGACAAACGCCCGAAAUCAUAGGCAAAUCACAGCAAUGUAUGAAUUAUAAAAGACGCGAUCUGAGAGAAGCAUCGACGCGUCGCCGAUGUUAGCGAGAUAUCUAGCAUGUUAAAUAUCUGGACCUGUAUGCGAUUCUAAAUCACGUAAUUUGACAUUUGUUUUGACUGAAUAUAGCUACAGCGUUGACCUACAGCCAAUGAGAGCAAGAAAUUGGCCACGGCCGGGAAGUUUCAGUGGGAGGAGUCGUGAUGUACUGGUUUGACGUUGGACGUUCGAUAUUCGCAGAUAUGCGCAAAUUAAAUGACCAUCUCUAAAGUUACAUACGACGUUAGUAUACACGUUUCUAACUUUAACAGCAUUUGAAGGGAAUGACUUACAGUCCCACAACCAACUGUAAAGUGUUCAUGUAGGUGUCAGCUAUAACGUACACCACAGUUUGUUUUAUGACUGGAAGUCAUUCCCAAUGCUAUUGAAGUUAGUAACGUGUAUACCAAUGUCAUAUGUAACUUUAGAGACUGUCCCUUCAUUUGCAUAUCUGCGAAUAUCCAACGUCCAACAUCAAGCCAAUUUUAUGCCAGUUCCUGAUGUACCUGCAACAGAACAUAAAUGCUUACAAGAGAGGCUGCAGGACUGCCUAUAUGAAGUGUAUGGACAGUGUGAAGGGAAUUACACACACCACUGGACUCACAAGAUUUACAUCAGUGUCUCUUUUUCCGUUUAACCUUAGCAGCGUACUAUCCAAUAAACGUUUUUAAACUUUUGAUGUGACAUCUGGCCCUGAUUUCCACGUGCACUGGCUGUGGAAUUGUAUGUCUGGAGCUACCCAUGCGCACAUGCCACAACCACAUCCAGCCCCGAAAUUACCUGUUUAAUAUUUAGCUAUCAAAAAUGUCAUAUUAUCUCCUUACAAUCUAAAUGUGACCAUACAUCAAAUAGGUACUUUAUUCUCCACUUCAAACUAUGUAGGCUAGUGCAAAAAGUCUUUCUUCAGAUUCCUGGUGCUUUAUGUUCUCCCCAGCAAACACAGUACUUUCUGAUGAUGUCACCAGUUAGUCGUAUUUUAGUCAGCGUGACAUUACUUUAUGACAACAUUGUGACCACCUCUUGGUAAAGUUAAAUUUUUUGAUAUCUUGGCUAACGGUCCAGAAACGUCGUGGCCACGUUCUCAAAAAACGUCUCUUUUCAUCAGUGUGAUAUUAUUUUAUGACAACCUUAUUACCACAGCUUGGUAAAUCUUUUUUAUAUAUGUAAUCUAGGCUAAUGGUCCAGAAACGUCCAGAAUGUCUUGGCCACGUCCUCAAAAAAACGUCACUAAGUAGUCCCAUUGAGAACUUUAUGAAGAUGUGUUAAAAGCAAAUUCGGGCUUGCAACAACUGCUGCUCUUCAAGUCUUAGAUGACACAGACACCAAUGUUGAGGAGGACAUCUUCCACGAAUUGAUUGAAGAGUUUUUACCCACAACAUCCUCAACCCCCAGUACAUGCACUGAUACUCUUUCACUCUCUUCAACGGAUCAUUAAGAGACAGAGAGGGCAGGGCUUAAUCAAUCAACAAGGACCAGUAGCAGAGAAACCAUAGAUGCUGAAAAGGCAAAACGGAUUGUACAGGAUGCCCUGGAAAAAUAAUCUGGUGGUGAGGAAGUGCUUGAAGAAUACCAGAUAACCAAAACUUUAAAGCACAGCACCAGACGGCAGCUUGUUAAUAUUGUUGUCAGUCAAAUGACAGAGAUUCAUGGGAGGUUCCCCACCCGCAAACAAAGGGAGACUUAAGCCUUGGGCAUUGUUUCUCUUUUUCCUGCUCUGAGAGACCCAUAUUCAACAAAGGGCUAUACAAUGGGCAACAGCUUGAAGGAGAUGCAUGCAGGGAGGUGAUUUCCUUCCUUGCCCACACAGCUGAUGAAGACUGAACUUAUGCAAAGGAUGAAGAAAACUUUUAAGCACAGACAAGAACUGGUACACAACCCUGAAAGAUCAGCUGACAUCCUUAAUAUCUUUCCAAGAUUUUUGGAUGUGAAAGGAUUGGUAAAUCAGGACUUUGCUCUGCUGUUCAAUGCUGAAACAUCCAACAAGUUGUUUGAGAGGUGGAAGACCGCAUUCAAGCACAAGAUCAUCAAUGAAGCCAAGUCUCUUACUUCAACAGGAGAAAUUCAGUGUCUUCUCGGUGCAGCUGGGGGACAAGGAUCUGAAAACGAUUGGGACAGUGACAUUUCAUCUGUCCUGCUACUAUUGCAUCUCCUGCCACCUUCUUCAGGGACAAAGAGGACUAAGAUCAGUCCAAUGGAGGCUGUUGAUAGGCUUGUGCAUUUCCAUAAGACAUCAACCAGUAUUGAAGGCCAUCUCAUUUCCAGGGAAGGCCGGCAGCCAUAUCUACUGGCAUUAGGAAGGAUCAAGGGCAGGACUGACACAUUCUACGUGGUUGUGGAUAAGCACUUCAUCCCUUGCGCAGGAACCAGUUCCUUGAGUGCUAUAGAUGGACUCUUCAAAGUCCACUAUGUGUUCAACCUAUCCUUGUCAACAUCUUUACCUUCCUGCAGACUACAAUCUACAACAUUGAUGUUGGUCUUACCAGUGAGUCUCCCAGACUAUAGGAAUUGUGUGCAAAGCUUUUGAAUUAGUUUAAAUGUUAGUGUUUCUGUUGUCAAAGUCUGCAUGCAAAUAACCACUCUGUGAUAUCUCAUCUGAGAGUCAAUUUAUGAUGGUUUGUUACAUCUAAGAUAUUGUGUUGAAAAUGAAAGUUCAACUUGAUACAGCAACUAAUGUGUUAGCUGUACUUUUAUUGAGGAGUACACACAUUUUAAAGGCAUGCGUUUUUAGGCAUACAGGGUGUAGAUUACAAUUAAUUACCUCAAUCUGGGUAUGAACACUAUUUCGUGUUGAAAAUAGCUCCCUUAUUGUUGAGCUAUUGACACCUCUAGUGUAGAUUCAACACUAAAUGUAAAUGGAGCCUGUAAGCAAUAAAAAAUACUAUACCAAUGAUGUUAACAGUGAACACUUACAGUGCUUUUUCAACACUAUGAGAGUGUAGAAAAAUAACACUAAAAGUGUAAAUUUAACUCUAUUUAGUGUGGACCUAUAUAAACUCUGGAUAAGUGUUAAUUUUCACACUGACUACGUUUACAUGGACAGCAGUAAUCUAAUUAUUGACCUUAUUCUGAGUAAGACAAUAUUGUGAUUAAGGUGUUUACAUGAGUCACUUUUAGAAUACUCCUUUCAUGAUCCCGUUUUACAUGUUAUAGAACAUAGUUCAAUUAACAGCACACGAAUUUCAAGUAUCAACAUACAGUUCGUCUUGUUUAUGAUACCGUAUACAGUUUUGGGUGUUUUUAUUUUUUUGGGUGUAAUUAUUUGUCAUGCUGUACGUGCAAAUGGACGACUGCUUGAAGCCAUGGGCUGCUUCCCAAACCGCGUACUUACCUACUAUAUAGUAGCCAAGAUACAUGUAUUUCGUCUACUACAGGCCUAUAGUAGGGAAGUACGCGGUUUGGGACGCAGCCGUGCUCUCUUGUUUGCCGUAAAACGGUUGAGCACUGCCGUGUGUGAUCGUGUCCUGUCGCAAAAUGCGGUGAAAACUCUCACAUAACGUUAAUAAUGUGAUUAAGGUGUUUACAUGUCUGUAACACAUGUCGAUAAUGCGACUAAAACAGGAGUACUCCACAUAUCUUAAUUCAAUUUGUGUUUACUUCGAGUAUGACCUUAAUCGGAUUAAGAUAAUUAAAAAUUGCUGUUUACAUGGUAGUUUCUUAAUCAGAGUAUUGUCUUAAUCGGGUUAAUAUUGGAUUAUUGUUGUCCAUGUAAACGUACUGACUGUCAGUGUGAAUUUAACACUUUAAAAUUUGCUGUGUAACUGAUUUCCAACGGACAGACGGAUGCUGGGGUAAGCGCCAUAAAUCUGUCUUUAUUCAUACAUUUUGCCCAUGUAACGUUUAAUGUCAUUCUAGGUGUUGAAUGUGUUGUAUUAUUAUGUCGUUCAAACUUAGUUUCGUAAUUAAAUGCCCUGUUUUGUUAAUUUGUGCAUGAACGUGAGGUGGCCUGAGGUAAAAUCUGAGAUAGAUUUUUACUUCCUUUUUAGUUUUAAAUUGGCCACUUAACGCGAUAAAUGAAAGUAUUAUCACAUUUUUUAAAUUCAA